ensembl:lncRNA
CCCAAUGUUAUGGUUUAAAAUCAUUGGAUUUUAAACCAUAACAUUCGUUGUGAUGCAUGUAAUAAACUGCCGCACUCACAUCUCGGGCCUGUUUGUCGCACGUCUCACUGUUACUGUGACCGGCUCAGGUCUUCUCUCUCUCUCUCUCUCUCUUUCCGUUUGCUCUGGACAUAUGGUCCUCCAUAUUUAAAAUGCGGGGGACCGGAGGACUUUUGGGGCGUGACUUUCACGGCAAACAGCCAGCUGCAACGGCCUACAUCCAUCCGGCGUGUGCGUCUCCUCAAUUUGCACAACCUUGGGAGGGAUUUCUGUCUCCCCGGAGCAACGAUCACAACUCCAGAUUCCACAUAAAGUUAUAUUUCAUGCUAAUGAAUUAAUGUACCCGUUUCCAUUUUCAGCCUGAAAUAUACGCUCCCCUCCCAUGCCCAAAUGAAAAAUGAAAUUAGUCUUGUCAUUUGCAGCCGAUUUGUUUCGGGUCCCAGCUCGCUCUCCUUUUUCCCCUCGGCGUGGUUGUUGCCGACAGCACAGCUGUGUUCCUUUUCCCUGAUGACUGAUGGAACUGCUGUUGGGUGGAAUCCGGUUGAAAAAACCUUCCGGCGGGAUGCGUCAAUCUCUUUCAAAGCUGCCCCCAAAAAGACGAGCUGAAUCUCGUGUUGACGGCAUCAAGGGGCAGAGAGGGCGAGGAGAUGGGUGGUAAAUACCCUGUUGUAUGCAGACUUGCAAAAGACAACAGGAUGAGUAAUGGGGGACACAGUGAAAAAUAAAACGCUAUGGCCGCUCAUCCUUCUGCAGUAAAAGAGGAAGUUGGAACGGAGGCAGAGGGUCAGCGAACACAUGUGAAACCUCUUUAAACUUCCGUCAGUUAUCUGCUCAAGCGGCCUGAGCUCCAAAGAUCAGAGGGGCCAUUUUGGCACCAAAAAAAGCAAAAACAUCCAUCCUUUCAAGUGUGUCAGGAUUUCAGACGGUGGAUGCCAUAAGAAAAGGCCUGUUUUCCUGUGUGUGUGUGUGUGUGUGUGUGUGUUUGUGCAUGGUGAAUCCGUCAGCAUGAGCUUUUUUUUUCUCCCCAGCCAGAACCAACCGAUUCUCCACAGGCUGACGGGCCGCUUCCUAUGAGAGCUGAUGGAUUAUCGCAUCCAUUGUACCGCAAAUUCAUUUCAUUAUAAUACAUUAAACUCUGUAAAAUAUUCGUUUUUCCAUCUAAAACAAGUACAUAUUACGUCACCCGCCCCCCAGUUUGGGAAACCACUGCUGUAAUCCAUGCAUAUCUCGGAAUACAGAGUGAAGGUCGUACACUGCUGCUAAGGUCAAAGACAACCAUGCGUACACGUUCACACACACACACACACAAUGAAUCUUAUUUACACACUUCAGAUAACAUCCUCUGAUCUGAACCGACGGCUAAAAUUGGAAGCUUCACUCAAGCAAGGAGCAAUAUGUAUUUAAAAAACGCGAACGUUCCGAUCAGCAAUCUGCCGCACGCUUCCUUCUGCCGCUCCAAAGAUCCACCUCCAUCUUUUCUGCCAUUUAGUGCCGGCGCACUUCCACGUGUUCACUUCUCCCUCCCGGGAACUCCGGGGGGAAGGGAAGUACAAUUCUCACAGUCAAUAAGAAGAAUGCCCGCCGCAGUCAGAUAAAAUGCAAGGAUCUCCAGGCCGGCUUUUUGGUGGCGUCAGGGGGGUUUGAACCUGUGCGGUUGGUAAAAAAAAAAGAAUCCUUUUGUGGAGACAAACGCAUAAUCCCGAACUACUCUAUGAAAAAAGUAUGUUUCAUCCAGCUCAUUAAAUAUGAAAGUAAAGUAAAUAGAAAAAUGUGAUGCAGUUAUAUUUGAAAAGAAAUAAAUAACCGCUCAACAGUUUCUGUUUUCUCUGAUUGUGUGAAAGUGUCAUUUGUGAAUGCGUUUUACUGCCCCACAAUUUAUCAAGCAAUGCAACUUCAUGUCCUCUUUGUCUGCAGUUGCGUUUGCAGAGACGAAAAAUAAAUGAUUCUUUAAACCGGU